GACAGAGGGUGCAAACGUUGUUCGGAAUUACUGGGCGUAAAGCGUGUGUAGGCGGCUUUGCAAGUCGGAUGUGAAAGCCCCGGGCUCAACCCGGGAAGUGCACUCGAUACUGCAGAGCUUGAGUGUCGGAGAGGUUGGUGGAAUUCUCGGUGUAGAGGUGAAAUUCGUAGAUAUCGAGAGGAACACCGGCGGCGAAGGCGGCCAACUGGACGAACACUGACGCUGAGACACGAAAGCGUGGGGAGCAAGCAGG
rnacentral:rRNA from 1 species